CGGCAUUUCCUCUUUUCUCGCGGUGCAUUGUGGGUAACGAGGCAAAGUCUCGCCUGUAUUUCACAAUGCAUUGUGGGUACCGAGGCAUUUCAUUGAAAACCAGGAAGUCACUUCCUCUCCUCGCGAUGGAUUGUGGGUAACGAGGCGGAAGCAACUACAAUUCCCGCAUUGCAUUGUGGGUACCGAGGCACUCCCUAAAUUAUACACCUGCGACAGGUGCGCGGCCACGCCCGAACCAGUUCCAAACCAGUAUAAACCAGUUCAAACCAGUCCGGGAGCGCAGCCAUNNNNNNNNNNNNNNNNNNNNUGGCGGCGGUGGUGCUGGCGGUGGCGCUCGGGGCGGUUUUGGUGGCCCUCGGGGGAGUUUUGGUGGCCGCGCUGGCCCGGAGGGGCCCGGACGGGCCGAGGUUGGCGGUGCCGGGACGGGCGGUGGCGCACAGGGGAGGUGCGGGGGAGAAGAUCGAGAACACCAUGGAGGCCUUUGAGAACGCGGUCUCGCAGGGCUGCGAUUGGCUGGAGCUGGACGUGCGCCGCACCCGCGAUGGCGUCGUCGUCGUCUGUCACGACCGGGAGCUGUCGCGACAGAGCGGCCGCCAUCUUGAAAUCAGCCAGACCGAUUACAAGGUCAGUUAAUUAGCGAUUAAUUAGUGCUAAUUAACGGGGAUUAAGGGAUUGGGGUAAUUAGGGGUUAAUUAAGGGGUAAUGGGUAAUUGGGGCGGGAAUUAAUAGGGAUGUGGGGUUAAUUAGGGAGAGUUAAUUAGUGGUGAUUGAUGGAUGUUGGUCGUAAUUAGUCAUAAUCAUGUGUUAAUUAAUGUUAAUAAAUAUUAAUUGGUGAUACUUUAUGGUAAUUAG
rnacentral:lncRNA from 1 species